CACCUCACUUUCCUGGCAGCAACUUGGUGACGUGUGAGAAGCCUGCACUGGGAGGCUUGGCUGUAAUGCAGAGUGACUUCAUCACCUAAAACUUCAGUGUUGUGUCUGCUUAGCCCUUGAGCUAACAACCACCCCACCCCCUAUCUCUGGGAACUGCCCUCUCACCCACACAGAACAUUAUUGAAGAAGGUAGCAAAUAAGAAACGCAGCAGCUG
rnacentral:lncRNA from 1 species